rnacentral:rRNA from 1 species
GACGAACGCUGGCGGCGUGCUUAACACAUGCAAGUCGAACGGUAAGGCCCUUCGGGGUACACGAGUGGCGAACGGGUGAGUAACACGUGGGUGAUCUGCCCUGCACUUCGGGAUAAGCCUGGGAAACUGGGUCUAAUACCGGAUAGGACCACUGCCUGCAUGGGUGGUGGUGGAAAGCUUUUGCGGUGUGGGAUGGGCCCGCGGCCUAUCAGCUUGUUGGUGGGGUGAUGGCCUACCAAGGCGACGACGGGUAGCCGGCCUGAGAGGGUGACCGGCCACAGUGGGACUGAGAUACGGCACGGACUCCUACGGGAGGCAGCAGUGGGGAAUAGUGCACAAUGGGCGCAAGCCUGAUGCAGCGACGCCGCGUGAGGGAUGACGGCCUUCGGGUUGUAAACCUCUUUCAGCACCGACGAAGCGCAAGUGACGGUAGGUGCAGAAGAAGGACCGGCCAACUACGUGCCAGCAGCCGCCGUAA